rnacentral:rRNA from 1 species
UGCCAGCCGCCGCGGUAAUACGGAGGGUGCGAACGUUGCUCGGAAUCAUUGGGCGUAAAGCACACGUAGGCGGCCGUACAAGUUGGAUGUGAAAGCCCGGGGCUCAACCCCGGAAGUGCAUUGGAAACUGGCGAACUUGAGUACGGGAGAGGAAAGUGGAAUUCCGAGUGUAGGGGUGAAAUCCGUAGAUAUUCGGAGGAACACCAGUGGCGAAGGCGGCUUUCUGGACCGAUACUGACGCUGAGACGCGAAAGCGUGGGGAGCAAACAGGAUUAGAUA